rfam:Gossypium raimondii chromosome 10, whole genome shotgun sequence.
CUCAAGGAAGCGUUUUGUCCACGAGGACAGAAAACGUUUCCUUGACGGCGCGCUUUCUGUCCACAUGGACAAAGCGCUUCCUUGAGG